UACGUAGGGUGCAAGCGUUAUCCGGAAUUAUUGGGCGUAAAGAGCUCGUAGGCGGUUUGUCACGUCUGCUGUGAAAACUGGAGGCUCAACCUCCAGCCUGCAGUGGGUACGGGCAGACUAGAGUGCGGUAGGGGAGAUUGGAAUUCCUGGUGUAGCGGUGGAAUGCGCAGAUAUCAGGAGGAACACCGAUGGCGAAGGCAGAUCUCUGGGCCGUAACUGACGCUGAGGAGCGAAAGCAUGGGGAGCGAACAGG
rnacentral:rRNA from 2 species